UACGUAGGGGGCAAGCGUUGUCCGGAAUCAUUGGGCGUAAAGCGCGUGUAGGCGGCUUGGUAAGUCCGUUCUGAAAGCCCGGGGCUCAACCCCGGGAGGCGGAUGGAUACUGUCAAGCUUGAGUCCGGAAGAGGCGAGUGGAAUUCCCGGUGUAGCGGUGAAAUGCGCAGAUAUCGGGAGGAACACCAAUGGCGAAGGCAGCUUACUACGAAUUGAUUGACACUGAGGCACGAAAGCGUGGGGAUCAAACAGG
rnacentral:rRNA from 1 species